rnacentral:rRNA from 1 species
ACAUGCAGUCGAGCGGGGGACGUUGCUUCUGUUCUCGACCUAACGGCGGACGGGUGAGUGAUACUUGUGAGUCUGCCUGUUAGUGGGGGGCGGCUUCUCGAAGGGGAUGCUAAUACCGCACACGCCCUACCGGGGAAAGCAGGGGAUCGCUUGUGACCUUGCUUGCCUACAUAAGCCCCCAUCUGAUUAUCUAUUUGGUGGGGUAAAGGCCUACCCCUGCGACAAUAUGUCUCGGGUCUGAGAGGAUGAUCCCCCCCACUGGGACUGAGACACGGCCCACACACCCCCGGGAGGCGCCAGUGGGGAAUAUUGUACAAUGGGGGGAACCCUGAUCCACCCAUGCCGCGUGUGUGAAAAAAGCCUUAUGGUUGUAAAGCACUUUUUCCGAGGAGAAGGCUCUUUUGGUUAAUACCCCCGAUGAGUGGACGUUACUCCCAGAAUAAACCCCGGCUAACUCUGUGCCCGCAGCCCGCGGUAAUACAGAGGGGUGCGAGCGUUAAUCGGAUUUACUGGGCGUAAAGCGCGCGCAGGCGGCUCUGUUAAGUCAGAUGUGAAAUCCCCGAGCUCAACUUGGGAAUUGCAUUCGAUACUGGGCGAGCUAGAGUAUGGUAGAGGAUGGUAGAAUUCCAGGUGUAGCGGUGAAAUGCGUAGAGAUCUGGAGGAAUACCGGUGGCGAAGGCGGCCAUCUGGACUAAUACUGACGCUGAGGUGCGAAAGCGUGGGGAGCAAACAGGAUUAGAUACCCUGGUAGUCCACGCCGUAAACGAUGUCUACUAGCCGGUUGGUGNCUUUGAGACGUUUANUGGCCGCAGCUAACGCGAUAAGUAGACCGCCUGGGGGAGUACGGUCGCAAGACUAAAACUCAAAUGAAUUGACGGGGGCCCGCACAGCGGUGGAACAUGUUGGUUUAAUUUCGAUGCAACGCGAAGAUCCU